GAUCCUGGCUCAGGAUGAACGCUAGCGGCAGGCUUAACACAUGCAAGUCGAGGGGCAGCACGAGGUAGCAAUACUUUGGUGGCGGCCGGCGCACGGGUGCGUAACGCGUAUGCAACCUACCUUUAACAGGGGCAUAACACUGAGAAAUUGGUACUAAUUCCCCAUAACAUUCGAGAAGGCGUCUUCUUGGGUUAAAAACUCCGGUGGUUAAAGAUGGGCAUGCGUUGUAUUAGCUAGUUGGUGAGGUAACGGCU
rnacentral:rRNA from 1 species